rnacentral:rRNA from 1 species
GUAAAGCGUACGUAGGCGGUUUAGUAAGUCGAUUGUGAAAUACCCGAGCUCAACUUGGGAAUUGCAAUCGAAACUGCUUGGCUAGAGUUUAGUGGGGGAUAGUGGAAUUCCUAGUGUAGGGGUGAAAUCCGUAGAUAUUAGGAGGAACAUCAGUGGCGAAGGCGACUAUCUACGCUAAUACUGACGCUAAGGUACGAAAGCGGGGGGAGCAAACAGGAUUAGAUACCCUGGUAGUCCACGCAGUAAACGAUGAGUGCUAGUUGUCGGGGUCUUAGACUUCGGUGGCGAAGCUAACGCGUUAAGCACUCCGCCUGGGGACUACGGUCGCAAGACUAAAACUCAAAGGAAUUGACGGGGACCCGCACAAGCAGUGGAUCAUGUGGUUUAAUUCGAUGCUACACGAAAAACCUUACCAACCCUUGCAUCUAGGUGACCGGUACAGAAAUGUACCUUUGGAGCAAUCCACAUCUAAGACAGGUGUUGCAUGGCUGUCGUCAGCUCGUGUCGUGAGGUGUUAGGUUAAGUCCUUCAACGAGCGCAACCCUCAUCCUUAUUUGCCAUCAGGUUAUGCUGGGAACUAUAAGGAAACUGCCUACGACAAGUAGGAGGAAGGUGGGGACGAUGUCAAGUCAUCAUGGCCCUUAUGGGUUGGGCUACACACAUGAUACAAUGGUGGUUACAGCAGGAAGCUAAGGAGCAAUCUGGAGCAAAUCCCUAAAAGCCAUCUCAGUUCAGAUUGAGGGCUGCAACUCGCCCUCAUGAAGUUGGAAUUGCUAGUAAUCGUGGAUCAGCACGCCACGGUGAAUACGUUCUCGGGUCUUGUACACACUGCCCGUCAAGCCAUGGAAGCUGUUUCUACCUGAAUAGGGUGAGCUAACCGCAAGGAGGUAGCCUUACACGGUAGGAGGGGUGACUGGGGUUAAGUCGUAACAAGGUA